CCUACGGGUGGCAGCAGUGGGGAAUAUUGCACAAUGGGGGAAACCCUGAUGCAGCGACGCCGCGUGAGUGAAGAAGGAAUUCGGGAUGUAAAGCUCUAUCAGCAGGGAAGAAAAUGACGGUACCUGAGAAAGAAGCCCCGGCUAACUACGUGCCAGCAGCCGCGGGAAGACGUAGGGGGCAAGCGUUAUCCGGAUUUACUGGGUGUAAAGGGAGCGUAGACGGCAGUGCAAGUCGGGAGUGAAAGGCGGGGGCUCACCCCCCGGACUGCUCUGGAAACUGUACGGCUGGAGUGCAGGAGAGGUACGUCGAAUUCCUAGUGUAGCGGUGAAAUGCGUAGAUAUUAGGAGGAACACCAGUGGCGAAGGCGGCUUCCUGGACUGUACCUGCCGUUGAGGCUCGAAAGCGUGGGGAGCAAACAGGAUUAGAUACCCCUGUAGUC
rnacentral:rRNA from 1 species